UAAUGGCCUACCAAGGCGACGACGGGUAGCCGACCUGAGAGGGUGACCGGCCACACUGGGACUGAGACACGGCCCAGACUCCUACGGGAGGCAGCAGUGGGGAAUAUUGCACAAUGGGCGGAAGCCUGAUGCAGCGACGCCGCGUGAGGGAUGAAGGCCUUCGGGUUGUAAACCUCUUUCAGCAGGGACGAAGCGCAAGUGACGGUACCUGCAGAAGAAGCACCGGCUAACUACGUGCCAGCAGCCGCGGUAAUACGUAGGGUGCGAGCGUUGUCCGGAAUUACUGGGCGUAAAGAGUUCGUAGGCGGUUUGUCGCGUCGUUUGUGAAAGCCCGGGGCUCAACUUCGGGCUUGCAGGCGAUACGGGCAGACUUGAGUGUUUCAGGGGAGACUGGAAUUCCUGGUGUAGCGGUGAAAUGCGCAGAUAUCAGGAGGAACACCGGUGGCGAAGGCGGGUCUCUGGGAAACAACUGACGCUGAGGAACGAAAGCGUGGGUAGCAAACAGGAUUAGAUACCCUGGUAGUCCACGCCGUAAACGGUGGGCGCUAGGUGUGGGUUCCUUCCACGGAAUCUGUGCCGUAGCUAACGCAUUAAGCG
rnacentral:rRNA from 1 species